UACGUAGGGGGCUAGCGUUGCUCGGAAUCACUGGGCGUAAAGCGCACGCAGGCGGCCUCUUAAGUCGGUGGUGAAAUCCUGGAGCUCAACUCCAGAACUGCCUUCGAUACUGAGAGUCUGGAGUCCGGGAGAGGUGAGUGGAACUGCGAGUGUAGAGGUGAAAUUCGUAGAUAUUCGCAAGAACACCAGUGGCGAAGGCGGCUCACUGGCCCGGUACUGACGCUGAGGUGCGAAAGCGUGGGGAGCAAACAGG
rnacentral:rRNA from 1 species